GAUGAACGCUGGCGGCGUGCUUAACACAUGCAAGUCGAACGGAAAGGCCCAACCUUGCUUGGGUACUCGAGUGGCGAACGGGUGAGUAACCCAUGGGUGAUCUGCCCUGCACUUCGGGAUAAGCCUGGGAAACUGGGUCUAAUACCGGCUAGGACCACUUCUUGGAUGGUGUGGUGGAAAGUUUUUGCGGUGUGGGAUGAGCUCGCGGCCUAUCCGCUUGUCGGGGGGGUAAUGGGCUACCAAGGCGUCGACGGGUAGCGGGCCUGAGAGGGUGUACGGCCGCCUUGGGACUGAGAGGCGGCCCAGGCGGCGAAGGGAGGAAGCAGUGGGGAAGAUUGAACAAGGGGUGCAAGGCGGAUGAAGAGACGCUGCGUGUGGGAAGACGGCCUUAGGGUUGAAAACUCGCUUCGCGAGGGACGAAGCGUUUUGUGACGGUACCUGGAGAAGAAGCACCGGCUAACUACGUG
rnacentral:rRNA from 1 species